rnacentral:rRNA from 1 species
AUACGGAGGUGGCGAGCGUUACUCGGAUUUACUGGGUGUAAAGGGCAAGUAGGCGACUCAAUAAGUUCUUGGUGAAAUCCUCCUGCUUAACAGGAGAACUGCCGAGAAAACUACUGGGAUUGAGGCUAGAAGGGGAGAGCGGAAUUCCCGGUGUAAGGGUGAAAUCUGUAGGUAUCGGGAGGAACACCAGAAGCGAAGGCGGCUCUCUGGUCUAGAUCUGACGCUGAAUUGCGAAAGCUAGGGUAGCAAACAGAAUUAGAUACUCUGGUAGUCCUAGCCGUAAACGAUGAGCACUAGGUGUUGGCCCUGCAUAAGGGUUAGUGCCGUAAGAAAACUCGUUAAGUGCUCCACCUGGGGACUACGGCCGCAAGGCUAAA